rnacentral:rRNA from 1 species
AGCAGCCGCGGUAAUUCCAGCUCCAAUAGCGUAUAUUAAAGUUGUUGCAGUUAAAAAGCUCGUAGUUGAAUUUCGGGGUUCUACCGUUGGUCGGGCUAUUGUCUGUACUGGCGUGUAGAAUUUUUACCUUCUGGGGAACUAUCAUGUUAUUAAUUUAGCGUGGUAGGAAACCAGGACCUUUACCUUGAAAAAUUAGAGUGUUCAAAGCAGGCUUAUGUCUGAAUACAUUAGCAUGGAAUAAUAAAAUAGGACGGUGGUCCUGUUUUGUUGGUUUCUGAAUCACCGUAAUGAUUAAUAGGGAUAGUUGGGGGCAUUAGUAUUCAAUUGUCAGAGGUGAAAUUCUUGGAUUUAUUGAAGACUAACUACUGCGAAAGCAUUUGCCAAGGAUGUUUUCAUUAAUCAAGAACGAAAGUUAGGGGAUCGAAGACGAUCAGAUACCGUCGUAGUCUU